UUAAUUAUUACAGAUUUAUAUCUUAAUAAUCUUAAUAUAAAUUUCUAUCCAAAACAAGUGUGGAUGGGUGAUGAUGAUAUCAAUCAAAGACUUUCAGGCUGUAUUAUUUUGUAAAUAAACUCAUCAAAUAUAUAUAUACCCUCCUCAGAAGAAGCAAACCCCACUCAGCUAACAAGUGAUUCAUUAAAACACUAGAUUAAUAACCCUAACAAGAGCCAACAGCCAACCUCUAAUACAUUUCCUUUUUAUUUUUUAAUUUACGAAAGAAAUUAAUUGUUAUGAUGGUAAACAUGUACUGUAAACAAAAGUAAAAUAAAAGAAAUAGAUCCCACUGCCUUAGUUGAGCAAUAUCAUCAGUUAUUAUAUAUCAUGAUUAGUUACUAAUAAUACUAAUACUGAUCUGAGUCAAAUAAAUCAAUCUUCAACUCCAUAAUAAACAAAAGAAAGGUAAGAAAAAUGGGCAAGUUUUAGUUGGAAAGCUCACCUAAUCAUCACGCACACAUUCACUCUUAGCAUACGCAAGCCACCAUUAGUUUGCUUCCUUUUUGAGAAAGGGCCAUGCGAAUAUUUCCUAACUCACAACACCUGCUCGUCCAUUUAAUGCCAAGCCCAAACGUUAUUAUGUUCUUCUUACUUUAUUUUCCAGCCUUACAAAAUCCCUCCUCAUCAACCUCAAAGUUUUAAGGUUGAUGAUUUUGGAUAUGACGAAAAGCAAGGGCAAGGGAAGUCAUGGUCGUGCCCAGCAACUGCAAGGGAAGAAGACCACAACAAGAAGAUAUAUGAAUCCAUGCAUGCCAUGUUGUUUUCUGAUGUCCUCCAUAUCUAGAAGGGUUGGCAGAUGUUUGUUUGUAAGUUGUUACCCUGUUGUGCAGUGCUUUGGUUGGGAUGACCAUAGGCACCACCAUCACCACCACAGGCAUUUCCAUUGAUUCACCUUCAAUUAUCCCCAUCGCCAAGAAAUUUUUAACUUCUUUAAUAUGCCUAAUUUCAACUCAGUUUGCUUUUUAGUUAUUAAUGGAACUACUUUCCCAGGGAGGUAUUAGCUAGGGAAGGUUCAUUAUAUAUGCAUUUUAGUAAUUGGUAUU